UGAAGUUUGAGUCAUUUAUUUAUGAAAAAAUAUAUUUAUAUCAAUCAAAAUAUGCACCUAUGGUAUCAGUCUAUUUCUGCCAGCGUAAUGGAAAGUUUUAAAUGCCUUUCUUGAAACAGUCAAUUAUACUAAAGCCAACAAUUUGUACUGCGACUCUGGAGCGGCGAGGACAACCGAUUUUCCAAAGCUGAUCGGAGAUUACCGAGCCUCUCCAUUAUUGUGCUUAGUCCCUCACAAUACACAUCCGCAGUAAUGCUGGUACCAUUUAGAUGCAGCUUAUGAAAUACUCAGCUUAGCAUACUCACUAAUAUAACAACAAAAAAAAUAUUAAUAUUACUUCUUCUAAAAAAACGUGUGUACUUUUGGUAUUAGUACUAUUUGAGUACAUUCUUCAAAACUUUUGAAGCUGACAAUGGGAUUAUCGAUAUCAAUAAAAUAAUUGACAAAAA